rnacentral:rRNA from 1 species
UACGUAGGUGGCAAGCGUUGUCCGGAAUUAUUGGGCGUAAAGCGCGCGCAGGCGGUCCUUUAAGUCUGAUGUGAAAGCCCACGGCUCAACCGUGGAGGGUCAUUGGAAACUGGGGGGACUUGAGUGCAGGAGAGAAGAGUGGAAUUCCACGUGUAGCGGUGAAAUGCGUAGAGAUGUGGAGGAACACCAGUGGCGAAGGCGACUCUUUGGCCUGUAACUGACGCUGAGGUGCGAAAGCGUGGGGAGCAAACAGG